AGCGAACGCUGGCGGCAGGCCUAACACAUGCAAGUCGAACGAACCCUUCGGGGUUAGUGGCGGACGGGUGAGUAACACGUGGGAACGUGCCUUUAGGUUCGGAAUAACUCAGGGAAACUUGUGCUAAUACCGAAUGUGCCCUUCGGGGGAAAGAUUUAUCGCCUUUAGAGCGGCCCGCGUCUGAUUAGCUAGUCGGUGAGGUAAUGGCUCACCAAGGCUACGAUCAGUAGCUGGUCUGAGAGGAUGACCAGCCACAUUGGGACUGAGACACGGCCCAAACUCCUACGGGAGGCAGCAGUGGGGAAUCUUGCGCAAUGGGCGAAAGCCUGACGCAGCCAUGCCGCGUGGAUGAUGAAGGUCUUAGGAUUGUAAAAUCCUUUCACCGGUGAAGAUAAUGACUGUAGCCGGAGAAGAAGCCCCGGCUAACUUCGUGCCAGCAGCCGCUGAACAC
rnacentral:rRNA from 1 species